GGGAGGAGGAGGAGCAGAGGGAGACGCUCCAGUCUGGCCUGGAGGUGAGGAGCUGCCUGCUUUCAGGUGGUUUGUGUUGCAGAGCGGCAGGUGAGUGGGAGAGCAGCAGGAGGAGACCGUGGAUCUGGGAGUUUGUCCACCAGGAGGACCAGGAUGGGGUCAGGAAUCUGAGGAACCAUCAGGUGGGACUUCUUCUUGGCUCUUUGGCUCUGGAAAUUAGAAAGAUGCUUUGAAGAAGGCUUCCUGCCACCAAACCAGCACCACGACCAUCAGGUGCAUGAAUGCAUGCAGGUGUGACUGCAGAACAACAUCUGCAACUCAAACACCUCAAGCACACUAAAACCUGACAGUUCUAACAUUUUUAACAGUUUUUUUGUUUUUCAUGCUAGGAGGGCCUCAUGGUGCCUGAUUAAAACCAACACGCUUCACUCUUGACGACUUCCUGCAGAAACACAUCUGUGUGGGAUUUCUGAGCUUUUUGUAGCCGAUCUGCAGGCGGCCAAUCAGCAGACAGAACGGGACGCAACACGUCGUGUGGUGUUCACCUGGCAGGCAGAUUACAACCAGAAGGCUUGAAAAGAAACGCCACAGUGUGUGUCUGGAGUGAAGGAAUAUAUUUCCUCCUGUUUCUCAGAGGCAGCAGCCUUUUCAGCUCUGAAACCUUCUUUACAACACCAGGGGUGCUGGUGCAGAGGAUGUCAGCCCUGAUCAGGAAACAUCUGCUCUGCACCGCCUCAUGGCAGCAGCACUCAUUCACUGUUUUCCUGUGAGACUUCGUCUGACAAGCCGACAGGAAGUACUGCAGAGCUGUGAAGUGGAAGGAAGAAAUUCAUCGUUUUAUUCACAUGUAAAAAUCUGAAAAGUGUGGUGGGCAUUUGUGUAUCAAUUCUUUUGAUGCAGUUUAAACCUUUCCUCCCCGACCCGUCUGCUGGGUCCCUGGUCUCCAUGAUGCUGGAUGUUCUCUAAUGUUCUCUGAAGAACCUUUAAGGCCAGAAACAGAACAUCUGCAUAUAUGCCGAGGUUAAACUAGGUAGUUUUAGUUUUUAGUUUUAUUGAAAGGAUCCCCAUUAGCUACAGCUAUGCUGCAGC